GACGAACGCUGGCGGCGUGCUUAACACAUGCAAGACGAACGGUAAGGCCCUUCGGGGUACACGAGUGGCGAACGGGUGAGUAACACGUGGGUGAUCUGCCCUGCACUUCGGGAUAAGCCUGGGAAACUGGGUCUAAUACCGGAUAGGACCACUGCCUGCAUGGGUGGUGGUGGAAAGCUUUUGCGGUGUGGGAUGGGCCCGCGGCCUAUCAGCUUGUUGGUGGGGUGAUGGCCUACCAAGGCGACGCCGGGUAGCCGGCCUGAGAGGGUGACCGGCCACACUGGGACUGAGAUACGGCCCAGACUCCUACGGGAGGCAGCAGUGGGGAAUAUUGCACAAUGGGCGCAAGCCUGAUGCAGCGACGCCGCGUGAGGGAUGACGGCCUUCGGGUUGUAAACCUCUUUCAGCACCGACGAAGCGCAAGUGACGGUAGGUGCAGAAGAAGGACCGGCCAACUACGUGCCAGCAGCCGCAGUAA
rnacentral:rRNA from 1 species